GUAUUGGUGGUUCAGUGGUAGAAUUCUCGCCUCCCACGUGGGAGACCCGGGUUCGUAUUCCCGGCCAAUGCA
rnacentral:tRNA from 1 species